ensembl:misc_RNA Metazoa_SRP Metazoan signal recognition particle RNA
GCUGGGUGUGGUGGCUCAUGCCUGUAAUCCCACCACUUUGGGAGGCUGAGGCGGGUGGAUCACCUGAGGUCAGGAGUUCGAGACCAGCCUGGCCAACAUGGUGAAACCCCGUCUCUA